CUCUUGGCUCUGGCAUCGAUGAAGAACGCAGCGAAAUGCGAUAAGUAAUGUGAAUUGCAGAAUUCCGCGAAUCAUCGAAUCUUUGAACGCACAUUGCGCCCGGCGGUAUUCUGCCGGGCAUGCCUGUUCGAGCGUCAUUUCAACCCUCAAGCUCCGCUUGGUGUUGGGAAGUCCCGUGCCUCGGCGCGCGGGACCCCCGAAAUGAAGUGGGCUGUCCCAACCGACACACCUUGCGUAGUAAAGUCUCUUUGUCUCGCAACGGCGCGCGGAUGGCGGCAAGCCGUUAACCUACAUACAUAUAUGUUUGUGGUUGACCUCGAAUCAUGUAUGAGGACCCGCUGAGCUUAAGCAUAUCAAUAAGC
rnacentral:rRNA from 1 species